GUUUUGAAGAAAAAGACCAGAGAAAAAAAAAAGAAAACAGAGGUUCUCUUUCGAACUGCAGCAGAGUAUAAGAAGAGAGAAGAGAAUGAGACUUUGCUGUGUUGAAACUUGAAAGAAGAAAAACAUAGAAGAAGAGGAGAAGAAAUAGAGGAAAGAAGGAGUAGAGGAGAGAGAGAGGGAAAGAUGAGACAUACCCAUAGUCCCAUACAACAGAAUUCAUUAAAAAGAGGAGGAGAGAAAAAGAAGAAAAUAGGAAAGUGUGCAAAGAUACUGCUGUGUUUUAGAGAAGAAGAGAAGAAAGAGAGGAAAGA
rnacentral:misc_RNA from 1 species